rnacentral:lncRNA from 1 species
GGGGUGAAAGGAGAAGAGACAAAGAGAGUGCGCAGGUUAAGAUGGAAAAAGACAAGGAUCCUGGGAAAUGCGCAGCUGCCAGCCAGCCAGCAACGCCAGCACACACACACACACACACACACACACACACACACAUUAGGUGACCAAAACAAGACUUGUGACUUUGACAUCAAACUUGACCUUGAGUUCAUCAUACAAUGGACGUAACAGAAGCAGCUAUUUCCAACAGACUUCUCUGAGAGUUCCCUAGUCACCAGGGUGGAUGAAGGGAGAACAUACCCCUGGAGAUACAAUUACCGAGCAGGAUAACCUCUUCCAUCACCAUACACAGAGUCAGAACCUUGAGCUGGACCCCUUCAUCAUCCUGUUACCAUGGCUGCCUUAUACUUUUGCCUCAGUCAAGCUAUCCAGGUGAUCCUGCUCUCUCUCUCUUUUGCUUUCUAAUAUCUGUUACAAUUCACGGUUGGCAUUCAAGAAUGUCUGGAGAAGGAAAACACAAACAAACGAUGGCCGAGUCAUUUUGGAGCCAGGCACAGCCAGACUUCAAACUCUGCUGGGUGUGGCAUGACAGUGAGCAGGGCAGCUCUUUGCCCUAACCUCAGAUGCAUCUGUGAAGUGCUGAAGAACAACAUAAUCUGAACUCUGAGCC